CAGCAGCCACGGUAAUACGUAGGGUGCAAGCGUUAAUCGGAAUUACUGGGCGUAAAGCGUGCGCAGGCGGUUCGCUAAGACAGAUGUGAAAUCCCCGGGCUCAACCUGGGAACUGCAUUUGUGACUGGCAAGCUAGAGUGUGUCAGAGGAUGGUGGAAUUCCCGGUGUAGCGGUGAAAUGCGUAGAGAUCGGGAGGAACAUCAGUGGCGAAGGCGGCCAUCUGGGACAACACUGACGCUGAGGCACGAAAGCGUGGGGAGCAAACAGGAUUAGAUACCCCGUAGUCCCUGUCUCUUAUACC
rnacentral:rRNA from 1 species